UGAAUUACAGUGGCUUCCUUAAGACUUUUGUCCCCUUUUAUCUAGAUCUGCAGGUUCAGACCUUGGUACCAGCCUUUCCGUGCAACUUGACACUCCUUCCCUGCUUUCUCAGCCUUCAUUUAUUCUUUCAACCAACCCCUGCAUCACCAGCACCGGCACCAGCUAUAGCAUGGUACCAUCUCCACCUUCUUACCACAAGUCCUUGAUCCCUGUUCACCCCAGCGCCAUCAGCUCCACAACCAGUGUCGUGUCUGCCAGAGAAGACCAAACACCCUCUACCUCCACCAGUCACCCUUCGGCGUUCGCUGCCCUCCAUGUGAGAAAUGCGCCUGUUCCCUCAAAACAGAGCACCCAAAGACUUGUUAUUUCUGAGGCAUCCAACAGUGUGGCUUCUGGAGGGUCAGUGGGACGGUACAGCAAUAGUGGGACUUCAGGAAGCAAUAUUGGUCUUGCUCUCUUUGGCGUGGGGCUUGGUAGCAAAGCAUUGUUUCAAAGUUUAAUGGAAGAAAAUGGCUGCUGUUUGCUUUACAUUGUGGAGGAUCAGUUGCCAGAUGUGGAACGUGCCUUCAAUACAGAAUUCCUGGCCAACACCAGGGUGCUACGGCAACAGGAUGCGGACAUAGUGCUCAAUGAUCAACGUGUCUCUGGAGCCAUUGUCUGUUCACCACCUGAAGCAGCCUCUGAAAUUGUGAUAGAUGCUUUACGAGCAGGUAACUGA
rnacentral:lncRNA from 1 species